GCCCUUAGAGUUUGAUCUUGGCUCAGAUUGAACGCUGGCGGCAGGCUUAACACAUGCAAGUCGAGCGGUAACAGGGGUAGCUUGCUACCUGCUGACGAGCGGCGGACGGGUGAGUAACGCGUAGGAAUCUACCCAGUAGCGGGGGAUAGCCCGGGGAAACCCGGAUUAAUACCGCAUACGCCCCACGGGGGAAAGCAGGGGAUCUUUGGACCUUGCGCUAUUGGAUGAGCCUGCGUCGGAUUAGCUAGUUGGUGGGGUAAAGGCCUACCAAGGCGACGAUCCGUAGCUGGUCUGAGAGGAUGAUCAGCCACACCGGGACUGAGACACGGCCCGGACUCCUACGGGAGGCAGCAGUGGGGAAUAUUGGACAAUGGGGGCAACCCUGAUCCAGCCAUGCCGCGUGUGUGAAGAAGGCUUUCGGGUUGUAAAGCACUUUCAGUGGGGAGGAAAUGGUCAUGGUUAAUACCUGUGACAAUUGACGUUACCCACAGAAGAAGCACCGGCUAACUCCGUGCCAGCAGCCGCGGUAAUACGGAGGGGUGCAAGCGUUAAUCGGAAUUACUGGGCGUAAAGCGCGCGUAGGCGGUCUGGUCAGUUGGGUGUGAAAUCCCUGGGCUUAACCUGGGAACUGCAUCCAAUACUGCCAGGCUGGAGUAUGGGAGAGGGUAGUGGAAUUCCACGUGUAGCGGUGAAAUGCGUAGAUAUGUGGAGGAACACCCGUGGCGAAGGCGACUGCCUGGCCCAAUACUGACGCUGAGGUGCGAAAGCGUGGGUAGCGAACAGGAUUAGAUACCCUGGUAGUCCACGCCGUAAACGAUGUCAACUAGCCGUUGGAGGACUUGAUCUUUUAGUGGCGCAGCUAACGCGAUAAGUUGACCGCCUGGGGAGUACGGCCGCAAGGUUAAAACUCAAAUGAAUUGACGGGGGCCCGCACAAGCGGUGGAGCAUGUGGUUUAAUUCGAUGAUACGCGAGGAACCUUACCAGGGCUUAAAUGCAUAAUGACAGGUCUAGAGAUAGACUUUUCUUCGGACAUUUUGCAAGGUGCUGCAUGGUUGUCGUCAGCUCGUGCCGUGAGGUGUCAGGUUAAGUCCUAUAACGAGCGCAACCCCUGCCGUCAGUUGCCAGCAAGUAAAGUUGGGGACUCUGACGGGACUGCCGGUGCAAACCGCGAGGAAGGUGGGGACGACGUCAAAUCAUCACGGCCCUUACGUCCUGGGCUACACACGUGCUACAAUGGCCGGUACAGCGAGCAGCCACUCCGCAAGGAGGAGCGAAUCUAUAAAACCGGUCACAGUUCGGAUCGGGGUCUGCAACUCGACCCCGUGAAGCUGGAAUCGCUAGUAAUCGGAUAUCAGCCAUGAUCCGGUGAAUACGUUCCCGGGCCUUGUACACACCGCCCGUCAAGCCAUGGAAGCCGGGAGUGCCUGAAGUCCGUCACCGUAAGGAGCGGCCUAGGGCAAAAUCGGUAACUAGGGCUAAGUCGUAACAAGGUAGCCGUA
rnacentral:rRNA from 1 species